UUUAACUGAGCGUUCAGUUACUUGACGUAGACCCGAAACCGGGCGACCUACCCAUGAGCAGGAUGAAGCGAAAGUAAAAUUUCGUGGAGGUCCGAACCCACGAGCGUUGAAAAGCUCGGGGAUGACUUGUGGGUAGCGGUGAAAUUCCAAUCGAGCCCGGAGAUAGCUGGUUCUCCCCGAAAUAGCUUUAGGGCUAGCCUCAAGGUGAGAGAUACGGAGGUAGAGCACUGAAUGUCCUAGGGGGUAUUGCACCUACCGAAGACUAUCAAACUCCGAAUGCCGUCAUCUUAUACUUGGGAGUCAGACUGUGGGUGAUAAGAUUCAUAGUCGAAAGGGCAACAGCCCAGAUCGUCAGCUAAGGUCCCUAAAUGUAAGUUAAGUGGUAAAGGAUGUGGGAUUGCACAGACAACCAGGAUGUUGGCUUAGAAGCAGCCACUCAUUCAAAGAGUGCGUAAUAGCUCACUGGUCGAGUGAUCCUGCGCCGAAGAUUUCCGGGGCUAAAACUUACUACCGAAGCUACGGCAUCAGUAAUGAUGGGUAGGGGAGCUUCCCAUACGGGUUGAAGCAUGACCGUAAGGACAUGUGGACAGUAUGGGAGUGAGAAUGUUGGCAUGAGUAGCGAGAUGUGGGUGAGAAUCCCACAGGCCGUAAACCCAAGGUUUCCAGGGGAAGGUUCGUCCGCCCUGGGUUAGUCGGGACCUAAGCUGAGGCCGAAAGGCGUAGGUGAUGGACAACAGGUUGAUAUUCCUGUACUACCGAUAACCGUUUGAGAGAAGGGAUGACACAGUAGGAUAAGCUAAGCACACUGUUGGUUAUG
rnacentral:rRNA from 1 species